UACGUAGGGUGCAAGCGUUGUCCGGAAUUAUUGGGCGUAAAGGGCUCGUAGGCGGUCUGUCACGUCGGGAGUGAAAACUCAGGGCUUAACCCUGAGCCUGCUUCCGAUACGGGCAGACUAGAGGUAUGCAGGGGAGAACGGAAUUCCUGGUGUAGCGGUGAAAUGCGCAGAUAUCAGGAGGAACACCGGUGGCGAAGGCGGUUCUCUGGGCAUUAACUGACGCUGAGGAGCGAAAGCAUGGGGAGCGAACAGG
rnacentral:rRNA from 1 species